GUUGUACACUGGCUUAUUUGAUGAAAUUGCACUUUGUUGUUUCUUGUUCUUCUGAGUUUGUGUCCUUAUGGUUGAAUGAACUUAUUGUAAGUCGCUUUGGAUAAAAGCGUCAGAUAAAUGACAUGUAAUGUGAUGUAAUUUCUCAAGAGUCACCAAGCGUCUCCAUUGGACCAUAAAGCAGGGAAUGCUUUAGGGCGGGGCUACACAGUGAUUGACAGGUCUCUAGACCAGAUCAAACAAGACACAAAAUAAGAUGUCUGAUUAUCAAGAAGCUUUAUUGUCUUCAUCAGAUUGAACAUCAUCAUCUUCCUCUUCAUCAUCGUCACCAUCAUCAUCCUCCUCAUUAUAGUCAUCAUUCUCAAUAUCCUCAUCAUCUUCAUCAUCACCAUCAUCCUCCUUACCACCACCACUACCAUCAUCACCAUCUUCAUCAUCAACACCUGUGUGCUGGACGUCAGGAGGCUGUUAACAUGCAGCUGAGCCGGGCAGACAGACAGGAAGACAGACGGAUAACGGAGGAAACAGACAGACAGACAGAGGUAGGUCAGACAGAACGGACGCCAAAGGGGGGCAGAGAGGUAGACAGCUGGGCAGGUAGUCAAGUAGGGGAACAGACAGGUGGUCGUCAGGCAGAGACAGGCAGGUAGAUAUGAGGACUGUCUCAGGUAGUCACAGACAGACAGGUGGUCGUCAGGCAGAGACAGGCAGGUAGAUAUGAGGACUGUCUCAGGUAGUCGCAGACAGACAGGUGGUCGUCAGGCAGAGACAGGCAGGUAGAUAUGAGGACUGUCUCAGGUAGUGGCAGACAGACAGGUGGUCGUCAGGCAGAGACAGGCAGGUAGAUAUGAGGACUGUCUCAGGUAGUCGCAGACAGACAGGUGGUCGUCAGGCAGAGACAGGCAGGUAGAUAUGAGGACUGUCUCAGGUAGUGGCAGACAGACAGGUGGUCGUCAGGCAGAGACAGGCAGGUAGAUAUGAGGACUGUCUCAGGUAGUGGCAGACAGACAGGUGGUCGUCAGGCAGAGACAGGCAGGUAGAUAUGAGGACUGUCUCAGGUAGUGGCAGACAGACAGGUGGUCGUCAGGCAGAGACAGGCAGGUAGAUAUGAGGACUGUCUCAGGUAGUCGCAGACAGACAGGUGGUCGUCAGGCAGAGACAGGCAGGUAGAUAUGAGGACUGUCUCAGGUAGUCGCAGACAGACAGGUGGUCGUCAGGCAGAGACAGGCAGGUAGAUAUGAGGACUGUCUCAGGUAGUCACAGACAGACAGGUGGUCGUCAGGCAGAGACAGGCAGGUAGAUAUGAGGACUGUCUCAGGUAGUCGCAGACAGACAGGUGGUCGUGAGGCAGAGACAGGCAGGUAGAUAUGAGGACUGUCUCAGGUAGUCGCAGACAGACAGGUGGUCGUCAGGCAGAGACAGGCAGGUAGAUAUGAGGACUGUCUCAGGUAGUGGCAGACAGACAGGUGGUCGUCAGGCAGAGACAGGCAGGUAGAUAUGAGGACUGUCUCAGGUAGUCGCAGACAGACAGGUGGUCGUCAGGCAGAGACAGGCAGGUAGAUAUGAGGACUGUCUCAGGUAGUCGCAGACA
ensembl:lncRNA